AUUCAGAGAGCUUGUAAAAGCGUUCGACUUUUAAUCGAAAGAAAGUUUAUACUUCUGAUUA
rnacentral:tRNA from 1 species